rnacentral:rRNA from 1 species
CUACGGGACGCUCCAGUGGGGAAUAUUGCACAAUGGAGGAAACUCUGAUGCAGCAACGCCGCGUGGAGGAUGACACUUUUCGGAGCGUAAACUCCUUUUAUAUAGGAAGAAGAUGACGGUACUAUAUGAAUAAGCGCCGGCUAACUCCGUGCCAGCAGCCGCGGUAAUACGGAGGGCGCAAGCGUUACUCGGAAUCACUGGGCGUAAAGAGCGUGUAGGCGGAUUAAAAAGUCAGAAGUGAAAUCCUAUAGCUUAACUAUAGAACUGCUUCUGAAACUCUUAAUCUAGAAUAUGGGAGAGGUAGAUGGAAUUUCUGGUGUAGGGGUAAAAUCCGUAGAGAUCAGAAGGAAUACCGAUUGCGAAGGCGAUCUACUAGAACAUUAUUGACGCUGAGACGCGAAAGCGUGGGGAGCAAACAGGAUUAGAUACCCGUGUAGUC